GUGCCAGCCGCCGCGGUAAUACGAAGGGGGCUAGCGUUGUUCGGAAUCACUGGGCGUAAAGCGUAUGUAGGCGGAUUGUUAAGUCAGGGGUGAAAUCCCGAGGCUCAACCUCGGAACUGCCUUUGAUACUGGCUUUCUUGAGUUCGGGAGAGGUGAGUGGAACUCCUAGUGUAGAGGUGAAAUUCGUAGAUAUUAGGAAGAACACCAGUGGCGAAGGCGGCUCACUGGCCCGAUACUGACGCUGAUGUACGAAAGCGUGGGGAGCAAACAGGAUUAGAUACCCUGGUAGUCC
rnacentral:rRNA from 1 species